GCCACUUCUCGGCCUUUUGACUAAGAUCAAACAUAGUAUCUGUUCUUAUCAGUUCAAUAUCUGAUAAGUCCUCUAUCCAAGGACAAUUUUAAUUCAAGACUGUGAGCCCCUUGUUGAGUAGGGAUUGUCUUUAUUUGUUGCUGAAUUGUACUUUCCGAGCGAUUCGUUCAGUGCUCUGCAUACAGGAAGCGCUCA